GACGAACGCUGGCGGCGUGCCUAAUACAUGCAAGUCGAGCGGACUUAAAAGGAGCUUGCUCCUUUUAAGUUAGCGGCGGACGGGUGAGUAACACGUGGGCAACCUGCCCUAUAGUUUGGGAUAACUCCGGGAAACCGGGGCUAAUACCGGAUGAUACAUUUUAACUCCUGUUAAAAUGUUGAAAGAUGGUUUACGCUAUCGCUAUAGGAUGGGCCCGCGGCGCAUUAGCUAGUAGGUGAGGUAACGGCUCACCUAGGCGACGAUGCGUAGCCGACCUGAGAGGGUGAUCGGCCACACUGGGACUGAGACACGGCCCAGACUCCUACGGGUGGCUG
rnacentral:rRNA from 1 species